GACUCUUUGUAGGUAUAAAUAAGGAGCCAGACCUGCUCAAUGAAAAAUUAAAUAGCCGCGGUAUCCUGACCGUGCAAAGGUAGCAUAAUCAUUUGUUCAUUAAUUGUGAACUGGCAUGAAUGGUUCGAGAAGUAAAUACUGUCUCAAUUGUAUUUUAUUGAAAUUAACGUUAAGGUGCAGAGGCCUUAAUUUUGGAAAAAGACAAGAAGACCCUAAAAGUUUAUAGAAAGGUAGUGAAAGAAUGUUUAGUUGGGGCAACUAAGUAACAGUUAAAAGCUUACUUUAAAAUAAUUAUAUUAACGAUCCAUCAAAGGAUGACUUCAGAAAAACUACUUUAGGGAUAACAGCAUAAUAUUUUUUUAGAGUUCUUAUCGAAGAAAAUGUUUGUGACCUCGAUGUUGGACUAGGGAUAACCUAUUGGUGUAGCAGCUAAUGUAGGUUGAUCUGUUCGAUCAUAAAACCCCU
rnacentral:rRNA from 1 species